rnacentral:sRNA from 1 species
GCUUCCGGUUCGAACUGUGGCGUUUAUCGCCGCUUUCCGCCUCACUGGCGGAUAGAGCCGGAAGUUUUA